GACAGUUUGGCCGAGUGGUUAAGGCGCACGCCUGCUAUUUCGUGAGCGUGUACUUUCGAGUGCGCAGGUUCGAAUCCUGCAGCUGUCG